UGUACUAAAACUUUAAUGGAUUCAUGAAGGUCCACGGUGAAUGUUGAUGCAAUGUAAUUUCUGCCUAGUGCUCUGAAUGUCAAAGUCAAGUCAGUGAAGCACAGGUAAAUGGUGGGAGUAACUAGCAUUCUCUUAUGGUACCCAAAUGCCUUGUCAUCUGAUUAGGGACAUACAUGAAUGGGUGAACAA
rnacentral:ncRNA from 1 species